rnacentral:rRNA from 1 species
UACGUAGGGCGCAAGCGUUGUCCGGAAUUAUUGGGCGUAAAGAGCUCGUAGGCGGCUUGUCACGUCGGGUGUGAAAGCCCGGGGCUUAACCCCGGGUCUGCAUUCGAUACGGGCUAGCUAGAGUGUGGUAGGGGAGAUCGGAAUUCCUGGUGUAGCGGUGAAAUGCGCAGAUACCAGGAGGAACACCGGUGGCGAAGGCGGAUCUCUGGGCCAUUACUGACGCUGAGGAGCGAAAGCGUGGGGAGCGAACAGG